rnacentral:rRNA from 1 species
UGCAGUCGAGCGAAGACUUCGGUCUUAGCGGCAGACGGGUGAGUAACGCGUGGGAACCUACCCAGUCCUUCGGAAUAGCUCCUGGAAACGGGAAUUAAUACCGGAUACGCCCUUUUGGGGAAAGAUUUAUCGGGAUUGGAUGGGCCCGCGUUUGAUUAGGUAGUUGGUGGGGUAAUGGCCUACCAAGCCGACGAUCAAUAGCUGGUCUGAGAGGAUGAUCAGCCACACUGGGACUGAGACACGGCCCAGACUCCUACGGGAGGCAGCAGUGGGGAAUAUUGGACAAUGGGGGCAACCCUGAUCCAGCCAUGCCGCGUGAGUGAUGAAGGCCCUAGGGUUGUAAAGCUCUUUCAGCAGGGAUGAUAAUGACAGUACCUGCAGAAGAAGCCCCGGCUAACUUCGUGCCAGCAGCCGCGGUAAUACGAAGGGGGCUAGCGUUGUUCGGAAUUACUGGGCGUAAAGCGCACGUAGGCGGAUAUUUAAGUCAGGGGUGAAAUCCCGGAGCUCAACUCCGGAACUGCCUUUGAUACUGGAUAUCUAGAGUCCGAGAGAGGUGAGUGGAACUCCUAGUGUAGAGGUGGAAUUCGUAGAUAUUAGGAAGAACACCAGUGGCGAAGGCGGCUCACUGGCUCGGUACUGACGCUGAGGUGCGAAAGC